UAAUUAAUUGAAGUGGGUUCCAAAAGUUAAUAUUACCAUUGUGAAAUCAAUGAUAUUAUCUAUUUUCACUUUGUUUUCCAUCUUCUUCCUUAUUUCUAUAUUUUGAAACCUUAAAUUGAGAGUACUGGAAUAAUCAAAAGUGAGAUGGCAUUAUCAAUAUCUGCCACAAGCUCUACAAUAGCAGAGGAAGGGCUCGAUUUAGAGACGAAGAAGAUCUCCCAAGAGCUCCAAGUUGCUUUUGUAAUGAAACAUGUAACAUGUGGACAGCAUGGAAGGAGUCACAUCCUGGGCGUAGGUUCUUUGGAUGUAGCAAGUAUGAUAAAAGACACCGGGGUGUAGGUUGUGAAUUUUUUCUUUGGAUCGAUCUUCCUAUGUGCGAGAGAGCAAAGGCUGUCAUCAAUGAUCUAAACCAAGAAAAGAAGGCGUUAUGGAAGGAAAAUUGCCAGAUGAUGAAUAUUGGAAAAAAAAAAUGCACAAAAUUUCAGCUGAGUUUACUGAGUUAAAGGAAAAAGUUAAGAGGAUUGGGCUAGAGAAGAAGAAACUGGAAGAAGAAUGUAAAGCUAUAUUGAAGAAAAAGAAACUGUACAAAAUUGGGUGUGUCCUGUCAUGGGUAGUGUUAGUCAUGUUAGUGAUGUUGGGUAAUAUAUGAAUGAGAUUAGGAUUGUUAAUGUAGUGUUUGGUCU